UGACUCCCUGUUUCUGCCCAGGCUUGUUUGUCCUCCUGUGUGUGGGCUUCAUCGUUGGCGUGUUGGUCUUACUGCUGGAGCAUGUCAUCUUCAAGUUCCUUGUGCCCUACAUCAGACAGUGCCCCGAGCAUAGCAGAUGGCGGAGUGUACACCUCAUGUUCUUCAGCCAGAGACUUCAGCGAAUCAUCAACAGCGCUGAGCUGGUGUCGCCACACGCCUCAGCCAUGGAGAUGCUUGGCAUUGUGAAGAAGAGAGAGUUCACCAGACUCUUCCAGAAGAGCACUAUCAGGAGAAAUCGACUGGCGGAUAUAGCGAAGACGAAGCGGAUAAACAGAAACUUUUACGAUAUCGUAGAGAAGGCGAAGUGG